rnacentral:rRNA from 1 species
GAUGAACGCUAGCGACAGGCUUAACACAUGCAAGUCGAGGGGCAUCACGAUUUUAGCUUGCUAAGAUUGGUGGCGACCGGCGCACGGGUGAGGAACGCGUAUGCAACUUACCUAUCAGUGUGGAAUAACCCGGCGAAAGUCGGACUAAUACCGCAUACUAUAUACGGACUGCAUGGUCUCUGUAUAUAAAAGAUUUAUCGCUGAUAGAUAGGCAUGCGUUCCAUUAGGCAGUUGGUGAGGUAACGGCUCACCAAACCUACGAUGGAUCGGGGAACUGAGAGGUUGAUCCCCCACACUGGUACUGAGACACGGACCAGACUCCUAUGGGAGGCAGCAGUGAGGAAUAUUGGUCAAUGGACGAGAGUCUGAACCAGCCAAGUCGCGUGAAGGAUGAAGGAUCUAUGGUUCGUAAACUUCUUUUAUCUGGGAAUAAGUGCAGGACGUGUCCUGUUUUGUAUGUACCAUUUGAAUAAGGAUCGGCUAACUCCGUGCCAGCCGCCGCCGUAA